rnacentral:rRNA from 1 species
UACGUGAAACCGUUCAGGGGGUAAACCUGCGARACUCGAAUGAACGAACGGAGAGAUUCAUCGUCAUUCCGCGGCGUACGGACGCGCGCUUCGAUGUCACCGGCUUCGGUUGGGCGGCACGACGCGCGGCCGUCGACGUCCGCGGACGGCGUGCACUUCUCUCUUAGUAAUACAUCGUGACCCGUUCGAGGUCGGUCUAAGCGCCGUACGGGAGCCCAGUCGUCCCUUCACGGGGGCGGUUGGACCGUCACGGUACGCCGACCGGCCCACGGACGGUAUGACAAUUGAACCGCGCACGCGUUUACGCGCGUCCGGCCCGACGCAAGGCAACGUCGUCGCCGAUGUCCUGCCCGAGUGCGGACGUCGGUGCGGCGCGCCUGUCGUCGCUGCCGUGUAGUCUCGGACUGUGCGUGUCUCUGUCUACGAUGAUUCAGUUUCGGGCACUCGCAGGACCCGUCUUGAAACACGGACCAAGGAGUCUAGCAUGUGUGCGAGUCAUUGAGAUUAAUAAACUGAAAGGCGCAACGAAAGUGAAGGCGUGCGCUUGCCGCGCGCUCAGGGAGGAUGGAGCGUCGAUCUAGGUCGGCCUCUCGCACUCCCGAGGCGUCUCGUUUCCAAUCUGUGAAUGCAGGCGCGCUCUGAGCACAGAUGCUGGGACCCGAAAGAUGGUGAACUAUGCCUGGUCAGGUCGAAGUCAGGGGAAACCCUGAUGGAGGACCGUAGCGAUUCUGACGUGCAAAUCGAUCGUCGGAACUGGGUAUAGGGGSGAAAAGACUAAUCGAACCAUC